UAAAGAAAUAUUUUAAUAUAUUUUCAUUUCCCCCUUACAGGAGCAGAUCCCAAAUUCUGGGGAAGGAAAGAAGUUAUGAAUUAUAGAGUUCCAAGGGUUAUACUUUGUUCUGCUCACCACAAUCUCACCUUUGCUGAAACAUUCUGCACUAAAGUCCCCGUCUCUGGACACUGGAGUCUCACAGCCACCAGCCUUCCCAUUGGAGGAAGGAAGACCUACGUGCCAGAGUGAUGAAUGCCAACAAUGACCAGGAGAUGAAUCUAGAAGCACUACAUUCCAGUUAUGAAGAUCUUUUUCUGAAUGUGGAUAGCAUUCUUUCUUCUAAAUUCCUCUGGAUUGUCCUAAUCACUGCAUUGCUGCUUCUGGAAAAGUCUAUUACAUUCAAUCUUGCCACAAUGUAUCAGUCUCUGUGUACAAGGUACUCCUGGUUCUGCUCUUUUUGUUUCCCAUCAAUUCCUAGAGGUCAUUUCAGUUCACAUGGAAUUCCUCCAGUUCUUUAUUCCUCUCAAUACAAUAGUAUUCCAUCACCAUCAGGUAACACAAUUUUUCCUGCAUUCCCCAUCAUUUUCCAAAUUUUUGCCAACACAAAAGGCGUGGCUAUAAAUAUUUUUUGUUCAAGUAUUUUUUCUUAUUUUCCUCUUGGGGUACAGACCCAGAAGUGUUAUGGCCAGAUCAAAUGGCAGGCAAUCUUUUAAAGUCCUUUGGGCAUAGUUCCAAAUUGGGCUCUAGAAUGGUUGGAUUAAUUCAGAACUCUAUCAGCAGUGUAUUAGUCUCCCAAUUUUGCCAUAUCCCCUCCAAAAUUUAUCACUUUCCCUUGCUGCCACAUUGAACAGUCAGCUGGGUAUAAUGUGGCAUCUCAGAGUUAUUUUUAUUUGCAUUUCUCUAAUCAGUAGGGAUUUAGAACACUUUUUCAUAUGAUUAUUGAUAGUUUUUUGAUUUCUACAUCUGGAAACUGCCUAUUCAUAUUCCUUGACCAUUUUUUGAUUGAGGAAUGGUUUAAUUUUUUGUAAAUUUGACUUAGGUCCUUAAAUAUUUUGGAAAUUAAACUUUGUCAGAGAGUUUUGUUAUGAGGAUUUUUCCCCCAGUUUGUUGUUUUCCUUCC
rnacentral:lncRNA from 1 species